CUUGAUCGAGCCGAGCCAGAGUGGCUGGUCGUCCGGGCGGUCCUGGCCGUAGGUGGCGAGCAGCGCCUGGGCUUC
rnacentral:antisense_RNA from 1 species